rnacentral:lncRNA from 1 species
AGUACGAGAAUUUCUGUGACUUUUUGGGGCUCAUCUUAUUGCACAAAUGAAGAAACCAUUAAGAUUGAAGAAAGAAUGAAGGCAAGUACAGUGACUCAUAAAUGUAAUCUCAGAAGGAGGGAACCUGGGCAGGAAGAGUGCACUGAGUGAGAGGCCAGCCUGGGCUAUGGUUUGAGACCCUAUCCCAAACAAGCACAAAAAAAGUAGAAAGAGAGCCUUGUAGACGCGCAUGGACAUAAUGGAAAACACAGCAAGCCAUUCCCAAUCUGUCAGUCGGGAGUUUGUUUGGACAGAGACUGUGUUGACAUUUUCCAGGAUUAUUAUCAUUGUUACUGUUGUUCCUUCUCUUCCCAUGCUUCCUAUUGGAAAGAUUUGGCUUGUGCUACUGCAAGGCUUUGCAAUCCGAUUACAUAACGUACAUAGAUGACCUCCUGACCUCGAUCAACGCAAAACCGGACCUGCGGGCCAUGCUCCUGACUGACCCACGCCUGGCUCUGAGCAUCUUCUUCGGCCCAUGCACACCUUACCAUUUCCGCCUGACUGGUCCAGGAAAGUGGGAAGGAGCCAGAAAGGCCAUCUUGACCCAGUGGGACCGAACAGUGAACGUCACCAAAACUCGAACCGUACAAGAAACCCCAUCUACCUUUGAAACUUUGCUUAAACUCUUUAGUUUUCUGGCUUUGCUUGUGGCUGUUUUCUUUAUUUUCCUGUAAGUGAAAGAUCUAACUGGCUUUCCAAAUGUGUGGAGUAUAACCUUCCAACUUCUCUAAUGUAACAAUUUCACCUUCGUAAUUGUAAACCACGUCCAGAGACACCCAACCCCUACCUCUCCCCAACUCACCUCAUUGGCACCUUCAUUGCUGGGUCUCUUGCUAGUCCAUCAGGUUUAGUGCAAGAAAAUAAUGUCCAGCAAUUCUGUUCACUUAAAAUGUUGGAAGGAUCCAGGCCCCCUUUCAGGAAGAAUCUGCCCCCAGAGAGGACUCUGAGCAUUCUUUCAAUCUAAAAAACUGCUUUCCCUAGAUCUUAAUGAAAAGCCCAACUUCGCGGAAUAUUGGUCUGCACUAAAAUAGUUCUCUGUGUAUUAGUUGACUACAAAUAAAAUGGAAGAAACUACGUGU